rnacentral:lncRNA from 1 species
GGGGGGGGGGGGGGGGGGGGGGGGGGGGGGGGGGGGGGGGGGGGGGGGGGGGGGGGGGGGGGGGGGGGGGGGUAACCUCCAGCGCAGCACCUGGAAGCGUUUAGAUCAGAUAGCGCUGGCGUCCCGCGUGAAUUUGAUUAAGAAAUCUGUUUGUUAGGCGAGUAUAAUUAUUAGACGGUUGUAAUCAGCUCCGUUGAUAAGAGCCGUGUGCUAAUCUCCAUAGAUAAGGGGGAGCUGGGCCGGCGCUGCCGACUCGCAGGAGGAAUCACCGGCUGAUAAACAAGUCGCUGACUCCUGCCCUAGUUGCUCUAGAACCCCUUCCUUUAAUCUUCAGCCCCCACUAAAACCAUUCCCGUGUUAUUUUUGGGAGCUUAAAGCAAAUACCGUAAUUUUUUUUACUUAAUUCUUCUCUUUUUUUUUUUUUCUGUGGCGGGUAAGGACCUGGGGUUGCUGCAUGGAAUUAGACCUGACCUCACCUCCGGAGAAGGCAGUGGAUAAUCUUCUUUCGUGACUGGGUUUUAAAUGCAGACUCUUCAGUCACAAAGCUCUGAAUUUUAAUGAUGCUCGGUCGAGGGCUCUUCAUGGCUGUAACUGCAGCAAAAUUCAGGGAAAUGGGUGAAUUAAUGGGCCUUAGUGAUGUUCUGGAGUAACAAGCUCCACACUGCAUACAGAAAACAAGGAUCUGCUCCCAUUUGUGGCACUUCCCAAGGAGCUGCAGUGACUUCCGUGCUGGGCUUUGCCUUUGAUGGGAAAAACGUGGGACAGAGCAAGCCAGGCAGGUUCCUCCUUCUUUGUGCUUUUCUUCAUUGGUCAUUCAGAUGUGGCAGCUUUUUAGCUGGAAUUAUCAAGAGUUUUGAACCAAAACUUGCAUUAAUUCCCUAGAUAAAAGCACCAACUGGAAUGCAAAGAGAAAAUGUGAGGUGCUGGGUGAUAAGCCCUUGUGCUUUAGUAACACCAAGGCUGUAUUCUGAUACCCUCCUCUCCAAAGAAGUCAUUCUUUGAUAUGCAGACAACUGGCUGAAGUGUUGUUUUGAUAAUAAAAUUAAAAUAUUUUCAUUCACUGCUGCAACUUUCAUUGUGAAUUUUAACAUGAGAAAAACAUUAAAAUUUUACUUAAGUCAUGGAUUUUUUUGGCCAGGUUUUUUUAGGUCUUUUUCUUUAAGAUGUUGCCUCACUUUGCAUACUGUCUAUAGAAGGUUGAUACUACCAGUAUUAGUAUCCAGCAAAUACUGAGCUUUUCCCGUGUUGGUGUGUGUAUUUGGGCAUGGUACAGGAAGGGCAGCAGUGUUGUGUCACCUCAGAACACACAGAUUUCCAGGUGGCCCUGUGCAGGGUCAGUUCCUCGUGGUUUCUGCUCCCUGCAAGGUUUCCCAGCAGGAAAGGGCUGUGAAACCCAGCUCGUGCCAUCACACACAACACUUGAAAGUGCUUUGGAAAACAAAUUCUCCUUCUGAAUGAUUAAAUAUUUUCCUGCUGGCAAGUAUGUGUGCUUCCUGUUUUUUCCUGUCACUUUUCAUUGGCCGUGGUGCUUGGCUUUGGUGAGGUUCACGUUGGGGAAUUAAUUU